UAGAUAGAUGAUGAAUUUUUAUAAUUUCAAUUCUUUACCAUCAAACAAUAGAGUUUCAGAGUUUUUGGGUCUUCGAAUCGUCCCGCUUUGAGAUGCAACUUGGCACAGCAUCAAAAUGUUUGGGAAAUCGUGCCGUGGACUUUAUAUAUUUCCAAGAUGAGGUCGCAGCACCCCUCAAUAAAGACCCAUCCAAUAUUUAGCCGCAGUUGAUGGGUAUAAAUUCCCGCCCGCCCUUGAAGAUAGCGUCAAAGGUGGGGCUGCAGCCUGCAAGGUGCGGCCACCCCUCAGCUAAUGUGUUUAGCCAUCAUCUACUGAUCUAUGUUCUAUUCCAUUUACAUGACGAUAUUUCUGGCACAGUGGUAUGCACUGUCUUAUUAAUAGGAGGAUCUGGAUUCGAUUACCAGCUGGAACAGUUUGAAAAAAUCCGGCUUCAUUCGUUGUGUGAUAUAAUAUGAAAAGUUAUGAGGUGCGUGC